rnacentral:lncRNA from 1 species
UUAGCUUCUUUUAAUUUCUUUUAUUUAUAUAAUAACCUUCACUUCUCUCUCUGCAUCCCCCUUCUUCAUUCUCAUUCACCCACUCAUCAUCCUCUUCUUCCUUCUCUCUCUUUCUCUCUUACCCCCCUUGAACAUAGCCGAGACUCGUGGGGGAGAGAGAAAAAAAAACAAGAGUAAAAAUAAAAGAGAGAGUGAAAAUAUAUACAUAGAUGAAUAUUAGAUGAACACAUAGAAGGGCAUUUUGGGAAUAUAAAUAUAGAUGCUAUGAGGAAGCUUUGUCUUUUGAGGGGAAUGUUGUCUGGCUCGAGGACCCUUUCAUCAUAUCAUCUUGAUCAUCCAUAAUAUCCAAAUCUCUAUAAGAUUAUGGUGGUAUCAAAAUAUAUAGAGAUAAUUGAUUAUUAUUGAUGAAGAUAUAUAUAUUAUUUUUUUUAGGUUUGGUUCCUCUCUCUCUCUCUCUCUUCUUAGCUUUAUUUUUUUUUCUAAUUUUUAAAAAUUAAUUUACUAGUUGUACUAUGAAAAAGUUUUGUUUUUUUCUUAAGAAUAGGUAGAUCUGAAUGAUGGGUUUUUGUUUUUGGAUGAAUUAAAGACGUGGGUAUGUUAGUAGUUUGCAGAUUGGUGUAAUGAUGAUGAAUUUUGACUAAUUUUGUUCUUCACUUCACUUGGAGGCUCAAAAGGUUACCAUCAUUACUCCCUUUUUUUUCUUAGCAGCUUCUUUCCUUUCCUCUCUCUGAUCAUGUUGUGAUGAUGGUGUUCUUUGUUGUGUCAGGUUUGUAAUACUUUUUAAAAAAAAAAAAUUAUUUUCUUGUUCAUCAUCAUUAGCUCUAUGAUCUAUAGAUCUUGCCCACAACUAUUUAUUUUUUUUUUUUUAAAAGUUUUUUAAUUUCAAUUUUUAAUUUUCUAGCAUCGGAUCUGUCUGUUUCUGCCAUGUUUUUUCUCAGAUCUGGUCGCCUUUAAAUCUCAGUUAAACAUUCUCUCCUCUUUUUCAUUUAAAAAAAAAAAAAAAACAAAGAAAAGAAAAAAGAGUAAUUUUCAUUUUACCUUUUCUCUCUCUCUUUACCUAUUCUUUUUUAUCUUUCUUUAUUAGGGUUUUCUACUUUUCUAGCCUAUAUUUUUUUUGUCUCUAAUAUCGUCAGUUUUUGUAAGGUAUGGUCAUGAGUCUUAAAUAAUCAUUUAGUUAUGAUUUAUGAAUUUGAAUCAAAGUGAAUGAGACCCUUUUCUUAAUAGUCUUGUUUACUUCAAAUAUUGUCAAUACUAUGUGAUAAAAUCAAUGCAUAAUUUUGAUCGUUAUGAUAAUAAUUAUUUUAUAAAAAAAUAAAUAACCUGCAGGGACUAAUAGGAGUAUGUAGUAGUAUCAUGUAUCGAAAAUCAAUAUCAAAUAUUGCUUCUUAAUCUCUCUAAAAAUUUAAGGCUUGUGAUUUAUUGGAUCCAUCAAUCAGAAUGACAAAUUCAUGUUACUAAACAUAGCACUUAACUUGAUGAUAUUUUCGGUAACGUCAUAGAUCUAUACUUUUCCCUGCUUUUCUUGUCCAUAUGAAUUAAUUAUCAUAUACUGAAUUAAUAUUGUUAGAUCUGAAUUGAAUCUUUGCAAUUAUUGAUAUGUUUUAUUGUGGGUUUCCAUAAGCAUUUACCUUUUGUUUUUUCAUGAAAAAAAAAAAAACAUUUUUUCUUAAAAUUUCCUUAGGUUUAUUUAAAAUCUCAUUUGAUAUCUAAGAGCCUAAUUAAACAAUAAAUAUAUACAAGAUUCUUUGUUUUCCUUCUGUUUAAAUUUAUUUCAAUAUUCAUUAAGCUCUUGUAAGAGAAUAAACCAAAAAAAAGUGUCCUUCAAUAAUUCAUAUAUCUCUUAAAACAACACAUUAUUAUAUUCUAAAUGAAAUAAUAAUAUGCUUCCUUACAUGCAUUGUGUACAAAAAUGUUGGCAAGUAAGCCUUUUAUUUGUAUUAGUACAUGGAAUAUAUAAUUUUAUUUUUAUGAAGAGAAUCAAUAAUUGAUUUUAGAAUGAAUUAUUAUUGUAUAUUGAAGUGUCUCCUUUAUUAGAAGAGACAACACCGCCAUAAAUAAGAAGUUUGAUUUCAGAAGACGGUCAAUAUAACUAGAAGACAUAGGGGGAAGAACAACAAUAACAUAAACACAGUGCUCAUUAUUAUAUUCACCACUGGAUUUUUUUGGAUUUGAAUUCUCUAAAUUUUGAAUUUCACUUUAGAGAGUAAAAUAUGUAUGAUCGAUCACCAUUUAUUUUAUAGGUGGGACCAAGAGAAAACAUGAGAGAGGAAAUAUUCAAUGUUAAAAGAUUUUACUUUAUCCUCUAAAGUGAAAAUCUAAAAUUUAGAAGAUCCAAAUUCGUAUUUUUGUUUUCCUUUAUCAAUUGUAUUUACCAUUGUGCCAUUCACAGAUUAAUAUUUUACAUGUGGAAUUCAAAAUCUUCACAUUGAAAGGAAAAUAAUUUUAAAAAAAAUAAUAAUAAAAAUAAUAAAAUUAGUAUUUGGUUUGGGUUAUGCUAACUUCUAAUAAUAAUGGGUAUAAAAACUUCAAGAUCUUCUUUAAAAUUUUUUAUACUCACAAUAUAUAUAACUCAGAAAACCUGUGUUUCUUUGACCAAAUAUUUUUAGUGGUGUAUAGAGUUAUAUUAAAUAAUUAAAUAUAUGUUUCUAAAAUUUUAGAAACAAAGUAGAAAACAGUUGAAUUUCACCAAAUUACCAAAUCUCUAAACAUGGAUUUUGGUUGAAAAGAUAAAAAAAUUUUCAGUUACCAAUUGUCUACAUACUUUGGCCUCUGAAAAUUUAUGACCUCAUGAAGCGUCACAUGUAUUAUUAUUAUUAUUAUUUUGCUAACAAGUAGAGUGUUAAAUGUAGAAAGGUUGUAAAUAAAAAAGUUCACAUAAAGCAUUAAUAAAUGUAUAUUUUUGCAUCUGUUGCAACCUUUUUAAUUGUGUGAAGUUACCCAUGAAGUUUACCGAAUUCCACCUUCGCAUAUAUAUAAUAAAGAAUCUGCUUUUGGGAAAUUGGAUCUUUUUGACUUUUGAAAAAAAAAACACAUAAGUUAUGGUUGUUGAAUUCCCGUAAAAACAGCUUUUGUGGUCAUCAAAGCAUACUACUUUUCCAUGAAUAAUUGUUGUGAUGAGAACAAAAAUUAAGUGACCCCAGAAACUUUUUGGAGUCCCACUUUAUACUGUUUGGGUAGGAAAUUGAGGUUCUUCGUCUAUCCAUGCAUAUAUUGUUCAUCAAUUUUUCUAUUUUUGAGUAAAUUAGUUAUGGUGAAUUUUACGGUACUUAUAAUUUAGUAUCUAAUUUUUGUUUAAUUUAUUUUUUAUAGUAAAUUUUAAAUAUUUAAUAAUUAUUUAUUUUUAUAAUUUUAAAAUUAAAUAUUAAUUUUUGAAUUUUUUUAUUAGUUAAGCAAACUAGCAAAGGGACCAUAGCAAUUACUAUUAGUUAUAUAUUGAACAAAGAAAAGGAGAAAAAAAAAUCCAAAUCUUUUAACUAUUAGGCCUUAUUAAACGAAAUUUUCUUCUUUAACUUUAUUAAUUAUCUUAGGAUUUAGCUAAUUAAAAUGUGUUCUAAUGAUAUAUGUUAUUUUUAAAAUAUGUGUUUUAAGACAUAUAUAUUAACCAAUGUAAGAUAUAUAACCACUAUGUGCAUAAGGUCUUAGUUUAGUAGUAAUGAACUAAUGAUCUUUGUUUUGCAAAAAAUGCAUCUGAGUUUGAAAUUAGGAAUUAUUAAUCUAUCAUCUUAAUAAAAAAAAAUUAAUUAUAUAUAUUUUUUGUCAACUUAAAUUUUUAAAAGAAGUAGUUUUAUAACAAACAAACUUAUAAUUUAUAAACUGGCAUAAUUCUUUUGAACAAUUUCAAUUAAUACUUCACUUUGUAUAUGUAGUGUAAGAUUAAUUAAUAAUUUGGUGUUCCAUAGUCCAUCUCUUGAAAUAAAACCCCUUUGACGCAUUCAAGUGGGUUAUAGAUCAAAGACUACAAUUAUUUUUUUUUAAUGGUAUUUUUUAGUCUGCAAGUCAAAGAUUAAUUCGUUGUAAAUCUAAGUUCUAUUUAAGACUGACCAAUAAUAAGUUAUUAUAAUUUAUAUGCACAAAACAAGAUUCGACUAAAAAAUUAGUUAGGCAGACUAGUGAAUUAACCGUUAAACCAAUCUAAAUGGUUAGAAAUGACUUUGAAUUUGCCAUUUUCUUCCAUUUUGUUGGAUUAAUAAUUAAUCAGUCUAUAUGUUGAAAAAUGAAGAUGCAACAUUUAGCUCCUUUCAAUGGUAAGUGGUAACUUAGCUUGUGAUUAAGAUGCUAGAAUGUUCGACUUGCAUGUUAGUUCGUAUAAUGAUGAUGCUGAUCUAUUUGAUGUGUAUUUUUUAAUUGAAUUGUGUUAAUUAUAUACAAAAAGUGAGGUAACUAUGUAAUUUGAUAUAACGAAAUUCAAUUUAAUGAUACAAAAAUGGCUUUAAAAUUGUAAAUCACACCAAAAUCUAGAAAGGUAUUAAAAUAUGUGUUAAUAUAUUGUAUGUAAAUGUUUUUUUUUUUUUUGGAUUAAAAUAUAUAUUUGUUAAAAAAUGUGUUGAAAGACGAGGGCCCAAUUAAGGAGGGCAAUCCAUCUAUCAAAGAUCCGGUAUCAGCUUUUUAUUUUUUAUUUUUUAUUUGUUGGUUUUUUUAUUUUUUAUUUUUUUUUGCUGACAAACUUCUGUUAUGUUCAAUUCGACGAGGUUAUGAAAUUACAAUCAUAUGUCACCCAACUCACUAGUGGACAAUUUUGUUUUGCACUCCAACUACCCUCCC